AAACCCACCCUUGAAAUAAUAAACCCAAUCUAGUUUUUACAGCAACUCAGUCAGCAUAAGAGUUUGCGGACCUAGGAGCAAAAACAAGGGAAGCUAAAGGAUUGCCAACGCAAUCUAUAUACAUUCUAUCUGCGAGAUUUAGAAAGGCAGGAUAACACAAAGAAUAUGGCUUUUUCUACGUUUCUUUUCUUUCUUUGUCCUCUUGCCAUUCAUUUCUUGGCUCUCACUUUAGCUCAGCCUCUGCCUAAAAUGUUAUACCACGAUUGCACUGCAGACAAGGGUAACUACUCCACUAACAGUACCUACCAAGCAAACCUCAAUCGCCUCCUCACUUCCAUCUACACCAACACUGAAAUAGACAAC
rnacentral:misc_RNA from 1 species